GUGGGGAAUAUUGGGCAAUGGGGGAAACCCUGACCCAGCGACGCCGCGUGAGGGAAGACGGCCUUCGGGUUGUAAACCUCUUUUGUACGGGAAGAAGGAAGUGAUGGUACUGUACGAAUAAGUCCCGGCUAACUACGUGCCAGCAGCCGCGGUAAUACGUAGGGGACGAGCGUUGUCCGGAAUUACUGGGCGUAAAGGGCGCGCAGGCUGUGCUGCAAGUCAGCUGUGAAAUGUCUGGGCUUAACCCGGGCAUGCGGUUGAGACUGCAGUGCUGGAGUGCUGUAGAGGCAAGUGGAAUUCCCAGUGUAGCGGUGAAAUGCGUAGAUAUUGGGAAGAACACCGGUGGCGAAGGCGACUUGCUGGGCAGCAACUGACGCUGAGGCGCGAAAGCCAGGGGAGCAAACGGGAUUAGAUACCCUGGUAGUCC
rnacentral:rRNA from 1 species